CUUCCCUCCCCCAAGCUGCCCUGUCGGCCCUCCUGCACCCCAGCCUCUGUCUGCACUGGCCCUGCCGGCUCUAGUGAAUGAGGCCCUGGGAAGCUGAGAACAGACCUCCCGCUGAAGGAGCCCUCCCCACAGAGGGCAGAGUGCAGAAAACAGCAGCCUUGAGAGCCCCAGGAGAGGCAGACGUGGGUUCCCGCUGUGAUGCCACUGAGGACUGUUCUCGAAGAGGGUGACUACUGGGGAGCGAGACAGGGAUUUCCGGAAGGUUCUUUGUCUCUGACUGUGGGAGG
rnacentral:lncRNA from 1 species